rnacentral:piRNA from 1 species
UGGAGAUGGGUGAUCACUGUUCUGGG